AGAUUUUGAUUUGAAGAUGAAGGCUCCUAAAGCUAGAACGCUCCAACCACCUAACCACCCCUGGUGAGCAGGGACACUUCGGCAGAUUACCUGGGCAGCUAAGACUGUCUGAGGAACCACACGGGCUCUCAGCGGGCGAUUCGCACACUAGAGGAAGCGGCUGAUCAUCUUUCGCUGAAGUCCUGAAGUAGGACGGAUGGAUCACCGCCGUCAUCUGAGAAGUCGGCGGGGACGUCUGCCGGGGAGGUCCACUCGGCAGGUGUGCAGCCACAGGGUGCGAGCGAGAGCUCUUCAGGACAGAGCGACCUGGACAUCUCUGAAAAUGAAAAACUGCCGUGAGAAACUUGCUACAGACGCAAACCGUCAAAAUGCUGAAGCUUUCUGGACCUCCUUGGUGGCGCAGUGGUUAAGAAUACGCCUGCCAGUGCAGGGGACACAGGCUCGAUCCCUGGUCCAGGAAGAUCCCACAUGCCGUGGAGCAUAAGCCGAUGCCCCACAACUGCUGAGCCUGCGCUCUAGAGCCUGUGAGCCACAACUACUGAGCCCACAUGCCUAGAGCUUGUGCUCCGCAACAAGAGAAGCCACCGCAAUGAGAAGCCAGCGCACCGCAAGGAAGAGUAGCCCCCGCUCACCACCACUAGAAAAAGCCUGCACGCACCAAUGAAGACCCAACAAAGCCAAAAACAAAUAAAUAAAUAAACAAUUAAAAAAAAAUAAUAUUUCACAAACAUUUUGACCAAAGGGAAACUUCACAGCCAACCUUCCACAGUCUGCAAAUUCUUAUCUACUGGAAGAUGGUGUUGGAAUAAGCAAAGAAAGGAAGCUCUUUCACAAUGCCUGGAAAGAAAGAUUCUACCUAAAAUAAAAGUAUAUUUUUAAAAGAAAGUUUCACUUAUCUUUGUCUCACCUUUCCCUGAAUUUCAGCUCUUUUGUGACUGAAACACAACUCUUUGGCUCUCAUGAGUUGCAGAGUCUCCCGAGCUAACAUCAGCUUGAGUUUUUCUAACCUGGGAGUUGCUGUGGCCCAGGCAGCCUGGCCAAAUCUCUUCUCAUCCUGUGCCAUUUGUUUCUGCAUUCCUGUUGUAUUGUAAUUAAUAAAAUAAAACAUAAUUACAACUCAUUAAAAACAGAAAAAUUUA